GAUGAACGCUGGCGGCGUGCCUAAUACAUGCAAGUCGAGCGAAUGGAUUAAGAGCUUGCUCUUAUGAAGUUAGCGGCGGACGGGUGAGUAACACGUGGGUAACCUGCCCAUAAGACUGGGAUAACUCCGGGAAACCGGGGAUAAUACCGGAUAACAUUUUGAACCGCAUGGUUCGAGAUUGAAAGGCGGCUUCGGCUGUCACUUAUGGAUGGACCCGCGUCGCAUGAGCUAGUUGGUGAGGUAACGGCUCACCAAGGCAACGAUGCGUAGCCGACCUGAGAGGGUGAUCGGCCACACUGGGACUGAGACACGGCCCAGACUCCUACGGGAGGCAGCAGUAGGGAAUCUUCCGCAAUGGACGAAAGUCUGACGGAGCAACGCCGCGUGAGUGAUGAAGGCUUUCGGGUCGUAAAACUCUGCUGUUAGGGAAGAACAAGUGCUAGUUGAAUAAGCUGGCACCUUGACGGUACCUAACCAGAAAGCCACGGCUAACUACGUGCCAGCCGCCGCCGUAA
rnacentral:rRNA from 1 species